ACAACUUUCAACAACGGAUCUCUUGGCUCUCGCAUCGAUGAAGAACGCAGCGAAUUGCGAUAAGUAAUGUGAAUUGCAGAAUUCAGUGAAUCAUCGAAUCUUUGAGCGCACCUUGCACCCUCUGGUAUUCCGGAGAGUAUGCCUGUUCGAGUGUCGUGAAGUUCUCAACUUGCCUGCUUUGCGGCGGACAAGCUUGGAGUUGGAGCCCUGUCGGCGAGAGUCGACUGCUCUGAAAUGCAUUAGCCAUUACCUCUCUGUCGGCUCAAGCGUAAUAAAUCUUUGUUCGCUAGGUCGAUCCCGGAGGGGCCACGGCUUCUAAAGCACACUGUUUUUCACCUUUGACCUCGAAUCAGGUAGGACUACCCGCUGAACUUAAGCAUAUCAAUAAGCGGAGGAAAU
rnacentral:rRNA from 1 species